GGUGAGGAGAGAAAGCUGCAAAAACAACAUUUUGAUGCUUCCUGGGGAUCAACCCAACCUCUGGCACAAAGGCCACAAAGUGGAUCAGUCCAAGAAGUGGGAAGGUGCAAGAGAAGUGGAACAGCAAUGUCAACCUUCAUGUCUCUGCACUUCUAAAAAGGUUAAUGGACUUUGAAUGCCUUUGAGCCCGUUUGCAAAAGAAACAAUAAUGGCACACUGUUUUGUAUAAAAAAAAACAAAAAAACAAUGGUUCCAAGAUGUGGUUAUUUUUUACACAUUUGACUUUGUUGCUGCAAAUUACAGUAGUUAAUUCAAAGUUACACUGUGUGGCUGCAAGUCUUGUGCAGUCUGGUGUAUGUUUAUGUGAGUUUGUUCAUGUCUGUGUGAGUUUGAAAAUAUACACAUCGGGUAUUGAGUGUUAAUAAAUGUUUUGUAUUGUUGCA